CAAAUCAUAGGCCCACACAGUGUCUAUUCCCUCUCCAGUUGUACGAUCUGGGAUCCAGCAUGGGAAUGGAAAACGACAAGCAAUGAUUCUGGCAUUACAUUCAAGUUCUUCUCUGAGCUUCUUCUCCAACUCUGGCAUCAUUUGAGGUACCCCAAAAACAACAACAUUUGUAUAACGUGAAAAAGAAACCUUCCAUAAAUCUGAAAUAUAAAACUUGGCUUUGUGAUGUACC
rnacentral:lncRNA from 1 species